UUAAGUUCAGCGGGUAUCCCUACCUGAUCCGAGGUCAAACCUUUUGUUUUUUGGUGAUUGUCUGGCAGGCAACCGCCGGGUCCCCAGAGCGAGAGAUGCUACUACGCUUGGAGCCCACGCGGCACCGCCACUGAUUUUAAGGCCCGCCAGCACGCUGGCGCAGCCCAACACCAAGCUGAGCUUGAGGGGUUGAAAUGACG
rnacentral:misc_RNA from 1 species